UGGGGAAUCUUGCACAAUGGGGGAAACCCUGAUGCAGCGACGCCGCGUGAGUGAUGAAGCCCUUCGGGGUGUAAAGCUCUUUCGGCAGGGACGAUAAUGACGGUACCUGCAGAAGAAGCUGCGGCUAACUACGUGCCAGCAGCCGCGGUAAUACGUAGGCAGCAAGCGUUGUUCGGAAUUACUGGGCGUAAAGAGUGCGUAGGCGGCUUGGCAAGUUUGGUGUGAAAUCUCCUGGCUUAACUGGGAGGGUGCGCCGAAAAACUGUCAGGCUAGAGUGUGGGAGAGGAAAGCGGAAUUCCUGGUGUAGCGGUGAAAUGCGUAGAUAUCAGGAGGAACACCUGCGGUGUAGACGGCUUUCUGGACCACUACUGACGCUGAGGCACGAAAGCGUGGGGAGCAAACAGGAUUAGAUACCCUGGUAGUCCACGCCCUAAACGAUGCGGACUUGGUGUUGGCCCUUCAUUGGGUCAGUGCCGCAGUUAACGCGUAAGUCCGCCGCCUGGGGAGUACGGUCGCAAGGCUGAAACUCAAAUGAAUUGAC
rnacentral:rRNA from 1 species